GACUGAUUUUGAAAACUAACUAACUCUAUUAAUGUUAUUUGGUAACAGUGUACUGCAAUAAUAAAUUUUCUCUUAACCCAAAAGUCACGGAUAGUUUUAAAUUUCACUAGAUUUUUCUCCAAGUUUUUUUUUUUCCAUAAAAAGAUGGAAUAUUUGAUGAUGGAAACUCAUUUAAGUGAAAUGAGUUUCAUGUUUUAUUACCCCUUCUCCUGGGGUGUAGAUAAGAUUUCAUUGCGAAAUAUGCUAGAUAUUUUAGAAUAUACCUUUUGGGGAGGACACCAACAUAUUACUCCCUAUAUAUUCUAAGUGUUACAAUAAAAACAAAUUCAUAUAUUCACUCAGUAUUUCUUACUUUACCUAGUAUUGUUCUUUGAGGGUGGAGGAGUGAGAAAGGGUCUCCCUAAAUAGCCUAGGCGAGCCUUAAAGUCAUAAUCCUUCAGCUUCAACCUCUCAAGUGCCGCCAUUACAGGAAUGUCCACCACACCCAGGGGUGAGAUUGUUCUUCCUAAUGAUUUUCCUUAAAAGUAGAAUUUAAAGGGGGUCUGGAGAGAUGGCUCAGAGGCUAAGGGCACUGGCUGUUCUUCCAGAGGUCCCGAGUUCAAUUCUCAGCAACCACAUGGUGGCUCACAACCAUCUGUAAUGAGAUCCAAUGCCCUCUUCUGGUGGGUCAGUGACAGCAUACUCAUAUACAUAAAGUAAAUCUUUAAAAAAAAAUAGAAUUUGGAGUAUACUCUAAGUCAGUAGUUCACAUUUCCAUUGGACCUCAAACUCCCGUUUUUGUUUGUUUUGGUUUUGGUUUUGAGAGGAGGUUUCUCUGUGUAGCCCUGCCUGUCCUGGAACUCAUUCAGAUCAGGCUAGCCUUGAACUCAGAGAUCCACCUGCUUCUGCCUCCCCAUUACAGAUAUUAAAGACAGGUGUCACCACACCCAGCUUUUUUUUUUUAAACAUUUUUAUUUUGUGUGUAUGAGUUUUGUCUGGGUGUAUGUACAAUGCAUGCAUGUAGUGCCAUCAGAGGCCAGAAGAGGGUGGCAGAUCCCCCAGGCCUGGAGUUACAGAUGGUUGUGAACCACCAUAUAGGUGCUGAGAACCAAACUCAAGUCCUCUGCAUGAACAGCAAGUGCCCUUAAUUGCUGAGACAUCUAUGUCACUCCUGUUUCCCCUGCCUGUUCAUGAUUUUUGCUUUUUUUCUUUCAUAUCACUGGACAUUAUCUAAGAAACCAAAUUAGUCACUGUGUAGAAUAUUCCCAAAUUUUGGAUUUCUUUGUUUCUUCAUGGUGAGACUCGGGUUCACCAUUUAUGGCAAGAUUGUUCUUUUUCUAAUAAGUAUGUUCUCCAGUAAGUUUGUUAUGUAACUGCUGGGACUUAAACUCAGGGCUUCCUGAUCUCACACUGUUGUAAGUGAGCCAUCUCUCUGGCCCAUGAUUAUUAUCUCCUGGUUCUGACAUCUCUUUCAGAUUUACUCACUGGCCCAGGUAGGUUUUGUUGUCCAUGUUAUCAUUGUUGUGUUAAUUACCAGUGACUUAACAGAUUCCUUCAUUCAUAUUCCUUACUGUCAUGCAUUUCAAGUGCUUUCAAACUGUCCUUCACAUUUCUUCCUCCAUCCCUGACAUUUUUACAUUCCUUUGUACAUUCUCUCCUCAGAACUAGAAUCAUUUCUCCAAGGAGCAGUGUUUGAUUUUAGUGGAGAGCAAGAUCUAGAUGUCUUGUAGGUUCUCGUGUUUCAUCAAAAGACCCAUUGAGUAGAUAGAUCACAGACACACAAACAUACACUUGGUAACUGACUCCAGUCCUGUUGAUGCCAGAGCAACCAGAGUCUCAUUAAUAAGAGAACUUAAGAGGGAACUCAAACAGAAGCUCCAGGACAGCAUCUUUAAAGUGUAAAAGAAAAACUCCAGGGCAGGCUAUCUGUACAUCUCUGCAGCUGCCUGGAGGAGGGAAAGGCAAAGAGGUGUGAAAGGCACAAAGUUAGACUGUCAGUGGCAGGCAAGUAGUUGUUUGGGGUGGGGGGGUAUGGGGUGCUUUAGAGACAGAUAAGGAAGCCCAUAGUACUAAGGAACGCAUAUAGAUGAACUUGCAGGCAGGCAGAUCCAGCCGGACCUCAGAACUACUAGGGACUGUGCUGGUGACAGGAAUUCAGGGAAGGAAAAGUAUGCUAUCUUAACAUGAACCCUCUUCCCAGAGAUGGUUCCUUACAACAUCUGCCCAGCCUGCCCAACUGGGUUAACUCUUAGAGGAAGAGGCAAGGGCAAGUCUCCACCUAGGGGUAGAUGCCAUCUUUACCAUGACCUUGCUUUUGUCCUUGUUCUCCCUGCCCUCUGCUGUCUACUAUUCGUGUAUUUGCUGCUCAUUUGUUGUAUUUCACCAUAAAUGCAAAAUGACUUAAAAGGGUUAAAGUGCUUGUCUUACACAUGCAAAACGCUAGGAUUGAUCCCCAGAACUGUUGGAUGGAUGGAUGGAUGGAUGGAUGGGUAAAAUUACUGCUCUGAUACCACUACAGGUUUUGAAAAGUGUGUGUGUGUGUAUUGUGUGUGUAUGUGUGUGUGUUAUAAAUACGUAUAUCUUUAGAUUUUUUUUGUAUUAUGUCUUUAGAAAUAAAUUUAUACCUGUAAUCCCACCAUUUGAGAGGCAAAGGAAGGGAGAUCACUGUGAAUUCAAGGCCAUCCUGGUCUACACAGUUCCCAGACAGCCAGUGCUAUGUAAAGAAACCUUGUCUU
rnacentral:lncRNA from 1 species